UACGGGGGGGGCAAGCGUUGUUCGGAAUUACUGGGCGUAAAGGGCUCGUAGGCGGCCAACUAAGUCAUACGUGAAAUCCCUCGGCUUAACCGGGGAACUGCGUCUGAUACUGGAUGGCUUGAGUUCGGGAGAGGGAUGCGGAAUUCCAGGUGUAGCGGUGAAAUGCGUAGAUAUCUGGAGGAACACCGGUGGCGAAGGCGGCAUCCUGGACCGAUACUGACGCUGAGGAGCGAAAGCCAGGGGAGCAAAUGGG
rnacentral:rRNA from 1 species